rnacentral:lncRNA from 1 species
CCUGAGUAGUACUAGAGAGUUUUUAGACUUCUAAGUUGUAGAUGAAGAUUUUGGAAAAUUGUUUUCAUGUCAAGAAGAGCUUCUUUUCUCAUAUCACUAAGUAGAUGAAUCAGUCGACAAGAAUAGAUUAAUAACUAUACUCAAAUUUGUGAUCAACUGAAAGCAUAGAAACAAUUAUCAAAAUCUCAUUUAAACUUUACAUUUGAAGUUUUUUUUUUAUUUUGGGAUUUAAAUAUUAUCUUCA